UACGUAGGGUGCAAGCGUUGUCCGGAAUUAUUGGGCGUAAAGAGCUCGUAGGCGGUCUGUCGCGUCUGCUGUGAAAACCUAAGGCUCAACCUUGGGCUUGCAGUGGGUACGGGCAGACUAGAGUGCGGUAGGGGUGACUGGAAUUCCUGGUGUAGCGGUGGAAUGCGCAGAUAUCAGGAGGAACACCGGUGGCGAAGGCGGGAUCCUGGGCCAGUACUGACGCUGAGGAGCGAAAGCGUGGGGAGCAAACAGG
rnacentral:rRNA from 1 species